rnacentral:sRNA from 1 species
UAGUAGAAGUAACCAUAGGGUAAGCA